AUGGAAGGAGAGAUGAAUGGAACGGAGACACUGGCACGGACUCCCAACUGACUACUCCCUUGCUAUCCAAGCAAGAUGGAAAGCCGGACAGUGUUGUUGUUGUUAUACCCAGGAUACCAAGGCCCCUUCAUAGACACAAGGAAACUUUUUCACCCCAUAGUGAGAAAGCAACAAAUGGUUUGCUCCAGGUAUCAGAGGAUAUCGAGGAGGGUGAAGUCAUUGGGAUUAUCACUCUGGAAGAUGUAUUUGAAGAACUCCUGCAGGAGGAGAUUGUGGAUGAAACAGAUGAAUAUGUUGAUGUACAUAAAAGGGAUCAUAGAGUGACAAAAUCAAAUAGUUGGUUGACAUUAUGUACGAAAGUUAUAAUUUGAAAGUGGCUUAAUCUUCUUCUUCCUUGCAGAAUACGUGUCACUGCAGCUGCAGCUGCUUCAUCAGUGGCACGGCUCCAUCGACUCGGAGGUUAAAUGUGAACAAGGGACCUGCCACUGGACAAAAUGCAGGCCAAAAAGUAAGCAAGGACUAACCCUCAAGAAAUCUGCUGAUGAUUGGUCCUCGGCAACAUUGCAACGGACUUCUGGCGUACCCCGUCUUGGAAAUAAGAGAUGAUUCAUCUUGCUCAUUCGUCAUUUCCUGAUCCGGUUGCUCCUCAGGGAAUUGGCUUUGACUUGCAUCUAUGAAAGUUGUUUGUUUUUGUUUUCGAUUUUUGUUCUCUGGGUGGCGGGUAGGUUUCGAGAGGUGGAGUUCUACAUUAGAUUGCAUAGGAGGACAUCAUUGUAAGUUUAGUACCUUACUAAUUAUUUCCACUUGUUUUUUUGGUUCAUAUUAAAUCGAUAGGUCGAGCUGCCUCUUUGGCUGGCUCUACUUUUUGUUUUGUAAACGACGGUAUAUGGAGAAAGUAGUUC